GGAGAAGGGCCAUAGUCCAGGGGUAGAACACAUGAUUUAAAAACAGAAGGUCCAAGGUUCAAUCCCUUGUGUCUCCA